rnacentral:lncRNA from 1 species
UAUGGUGAGGUACUAAUUCAACUUUUCUGGUUUUAAUUACCAGUUGUUCUGUGUUCGACUGAGCUGCGUAUAUUUCGUGUUAGCCUUUCGCUGAUUUUAGAACUGACCGCGUUUUGAUGAUUGGUGGUUACAGGGUUGCAUGGAGUACGAAGGCUUGUAUGCUGCAAGAGAUUUAGACACCCAGUUGCUGAUCUUCAGCCCCUUGAUGUUGGUUUACCAAUCUGCAUUCCACACUCUUCAAAGGUUCCGAGGAAGGUGAGUUUUGUAAGUACCAGUCUCUGCAAGAACGCUAAUCUCGGUUCAUUUUCCAUAAAUUUGCAAUAGUUUGUUAUUUGCCGGGACCAACUUUAACUAGGUUGAAAUAAUGAUAUUUUUUGUUCAUUUUAUCUGUUUGUAACACUCUACGUUUUAUUAAUGCAUGAUAGGUGCCUCUAUCAGCCAUUUUUGAACCAGAUAUGCAGCAGCAAGGGAGUAGCCCUAUCACUCUCGAUCAAAACCUCAAAGGGCGAAGGGAGAACGCAACAACAUUCUUCUAUGAUAGUUAAUGUUGUCCCACCUAUACGUUUUAUUAAGGCAUGAUAGGUGCCUCUAUCAGCCAUUUUCUACCAUGUACGGCUGAUACAUGUUAACUGCCAGUUUGUACAGGUACACAGUUGUGUGAUACCCAUGAAUUUUAGUCAGAGUAAUUAUAUGUUCUGUUAUCAUGGUCACUAGAUUUUGUUGAGUACCUUAGUGCUCAACUUAGGAACAACUAAUUGCCAUCUUAGGUCACUGCAUUCCCAAAAUAACUAUGGAAAGUUUACUUUCACAAUACAGUCACAUAUCCAUGUCCCAUUUUUCUUUGUGGUUUCUAUCUAUAUAUUCAGAUUGGACGCAUUUAUAUUGAGUACUUAGAAAUUUACAUAUGUUUCCAGUUGCAUUUUAGUUUAGACAUGCUCUGAUAAUAUGCAAAGUAUGUGGCACAAAAUGAUGGUGCUGGUGUUAUCAAUGGGGUCCAAGGAAAUUUGCACAAAAAUUUAAACAAAAUGAUUAUGCCAUCAAUACUUUCUGAAGCCUUCAACUUUCUCCCUUUUGUCCCUAAACAUGUCCUGUGUUUACGCAAGGUGCAGCAGCAGCAGGUCAUCCACUUCUACCCAAGUUGCCAUGGAAAAUCUAAUGGGUUUACGACUAUCUCAGUUCAUAAUGGUGUGAGCUUUGUAGGAGUGGGAUAUCAUAUACAGUAUGAUAGAUAUGGAAGACAACAAGCAAAAAUUCAAUUAUGAGGUGAUGGUUGAGCUGAUCAGUACAACGUUGUCCCGAAUUUUCUUUUGAUUCUGUUUCUUCUUGGUUUGCAGAUGAUCGGCUGUUUCAAUCUUUUUCUUCUGCUUACAGUCCACCAACAGGAUUGUUGAUGCCCGCAGGAGGGGGACAUCGCAGUAGAUGGGCUGAAGUAGGAGGCUGAGAGAAAUGGGAAACAACGGAUUCUAGCACAUAGUAGAUGCCUAAGAUGUCACUGAAGCGCUAUUGAGGUACAUUCUGAUAACUACAGUUCUAUUGGACAACACUAGCCCCUAUAGUAACAUAUAUGGUCUGAGAUUUUUCUAGGAUCAUUCCUCCCAGGUGAUUACAAACCUGGUCAUAAUGUAGCAUAAGCUAAAUCAAAUCCAGAUUUUCUUCCUUGGCCCAUUACAAUAAAGGAUCCUUUAUACUGAGCUUUUUGUGUUACAACAGAAUUAUGGAUGACUGCUCUAUUUAGUCCUUGACAGUUCCAUCUAUAUAUGCCAUGGGCUUAGCUAUUAGCGUUGUUGAGUGCGACCUUGUGGACCUCUGCAUUUUUUAUUUCUGUUUGCAAUGUUGUGAUUCUCCUGCUCAUUGCUUUUCAUUUUUCUUUGUGUAGGUCACAUACACUCCAACAUCUAAAAUAAAUCCAGCAGGCAGUUUAGAGUUUUUCGGGUUGAUGAUUAUGAAUGCAGAUAGACCUAUCUAAUCCAGCUUUUGCUUGAUUUUUGUCACUGAACUUCAUAUUAGAUGUGAUAUAACUACUCAGAUUGUAUCAGCCUUCCUAUUCUUUCCCCUUUCCUAUUACUACAAGUGUAUAUGGUAAUUAUUUAUCAAAUAAUACACGGCUUUUGUUCAUCUCAUGCGCAGGUGGCGCAACGGGUGCUUUAUAAAACCAAUGUAUGCUACAAAGUAUCUAUUCAGUAUCAGUCACAUAUACAUGGUUUGAAUACUCGGCCCGCUCUCGCUUAUUUUACCAAGGAUCUUCAACAAGUAUAUCUGCAAAAGGUCAAAUUCCAUUCAAUUCAGACCCAAACAAUACUCCGCUAGGUUGAUCGCACACUACAGCAAAUUCCUUUCAAAAUAAUCUAUUCACCGUGAAGCACGCU